rnacentral:rRNA from 1 species
GUAGUCUCGCACAGAUGCAUAUCAAUAAGCGGAGGAAAAGAAACUAACAAGGAUUCCCCUAGUAACGGCGAGUGAAGCGGGAAGAGCUCAAAUUUGAAUCUUAAAGGGUUUCCCUUUACGAAUUGUAGUUUAAAGAAGUGUUUUCUGUUGAGGUUUUGGUAAAAGUUCUUUGGAAUAGGACAUCAUAGAGGGUGAGAAUCCCGUAUUUGACCUUUACUUUUCAACUUUGUGAUACACUUUCAAAGAGUCGGAUUGUUUGGGAAUGCAGUCCAAAAUGGGUGGUAAAUUUCAUCUAAAGCUAAAUAUUGGCGAGAGACCGAUAGCGAACAAGUACCGUGAGGGAAAGAUGAAAAGAACUUUGAAAAGAGAGUUAAACAGUACGUGAAAUUGUCAAAAGGGAAGCGUUUGACACCAGUGUUGUUUUUCUGAAAAUCAAUUAAAGAACUGUUUAUGCUAAGUUGUUUAGACUUUAUCAGCUAUCUGCUUUAGUUUUGAGCUUUUCUUUAACUGCACUUUUCAGUUAACAAGUCAACAUCAAUUUCUUUUGCUGUAAAAAAGCUUGAGGAAGGUGGCUUGAGAUUCGUCUUAAGUGUUUAUAGCCUCUUGCCUAUGCAGUCGGAGAGAUUGAGGUCUGCAGCGUAGAUCCUUCGGGGCUAAAUGCAUUUGUGCUAAGUUAUAGCAUUUUAUAGACAACUUGUUGACUAUGAUUUGUCUUGUAGCUUACUCGCUUAUGUUAUUUUACCUACGCUUAGGAUGUUGACAGCAGUAUAGACUG